AUUGGCACGUUCGGUAGCGAGGUAUAGAGUUCCUACGGAUAUCUGAGUUAAAAAAAAAGAGUGGUUCUAUCAAAUUAAUGACAACCUCACCUCAAUAAUCACAAACUAUGUAGGAACUUCAUACCGUGCUUUUGAAUGUGGUCAGCUGUU
rnacentral:pre_miRNA from 1 species